AAAGAGCUUCAGGGGGCUCACAACGACAAAUAAAACACCAUCCAUUACCAUUAUUAUUAAGGAGGAGACGUGUGCACUUAGUGAAUCCAGGCUCCAUGCGUUAACAUAGAUCAAUAAGACGAAGGGUUUACUAUACAUCAUCAUACACGUUUCUCUAUCACUCCAAUACGUCUCCACGUUUGUUGAAGAACAAGACUUAUCCUUCGUACGAUAAACGAUCUAACGAGAUCGUAAUCGACCGUCUCGAGUUCAACUUGUUCCCCAUUCGUGAAUGGGGUCUCGUUCUAAAGGAGGUAAACGACAUCUCGCCCGAGAUGGUAAGAGAUAAAACCGACGUCUUCUGAGAACUGACGAACUCGAUGUCUCUCCUGAGAACCGACGAACUCGAUGUAUCGAUCGGGACCGACAAACCCGACGUCUUGCUCAAGACCGAUGACACCAACAUCCCUUUCGAGAUGAUGAUAAUCGAACUACGUUUAGACUUGAUCCCACGACGGGUACGUAGGCAGCUCGUUCUCGAGUUCAGUCACGAUCUUCUCUUUCCCGAUAUCUUUAUGAUAUUCGACCUACGAAUAUAGUCCAUUUUCGCCGACUCAUACCUGAUUAUAUCGUUGUGUUCUAAGGAUAUCGUUGCCCACAUCAUUUUUCUUCUCCAGAUUGAACUCCCGAUCACUAUUAAAUACUUAGUGUAGAUUUUAGGUUCUACAAUGUUUUUCUAAGUCAUCGUCAGCUAAUUGUAAUUAUUAAAUGAUAUGUGUGUCUUUUGAAAUUCCAAUUAAUUAUAAUCUAUAUUUAUUGCGAAAGUAAUGACACACAAGAUACACAUGACUAAAAUUGUCAUUAAAAAAUAUGAGAGGAUAAUCCAAAUGGAUGAAAAUUCUUUUUCGAGAAAGAAAAAAAGUUAAAUUAAUGUUUAUGUAACAUAAAAAUUAAAAUUAAUGAAAAUUAUUUUAACAAAAAAGAAGGGCAAUUCUUUCAAAUGGUUUUUUUAAGUUUUGUCACAAAAAUAGCGAUAAACAAUGACCAAAAUAGCUUCUUUUUAUUUUAAAAUUUUUAAUUUUUUUUUUAAAUUUGAAACUUUAUCUCCAAAACCUCACCCCUUAUCUCUAAACCCCAAGUCUAACUUAGUUAACCUUAAAGUAAAAAUACAUUUUCACCAUUUAAUAAACUUAUUUUGGUCAUUUUUUUCAUUGAUUGCUAUUUUGUUACAAAAACUAAAAAAAAACUAUCAUAGGGAAUUUGUUAAAAAAGAAUCCAAAGAAAACAAAAAACAAAACGAAAAUUUUCUCCAACCAUAAUGUUUAUUUCCCCAAUUGUUUUUGUUUGUUAACUCUCCGAAAAUACUUAAAUAUCAUGACACUAUAAUAGCAUUUAGCGCUCAAAUAUUCAUCUCACCCUCUUCUCACAUACUCUGUUUCAUCCUCUCGCCUCAAGAAUCUGUAAAGCUUUUUUUAGUCAUUCCAUUGGAAGGUAAGAGGUCUCGUUUUCAUUGCUUCCUCUUAAAGUACUCUUCUUUAAGAUCGAAGUCGGCUCCUUUACUUCUCUCGCUUUCUUUUGUGUAGGAUCGCUCUCUCGUGCGGACCUUUCUCGAAAUGGAAGGUAACAACAAGAAAGCGAACACAAGUUCCAUAGACGUGAUCAGCACGUUACCAGAUAAUGUUCGCAGCAGAAUUUUGGCUUUCUUGACGACAAAAGCGGCUGCUUUAGCUCUGUUUCUCUCAAAGAGAUGGUAGAAUCGUCACUAUUGGGACGGGUCUGUUUCAAGUCAGACGUGUUGGACUUUAGUUAAUUAAAUGAAGGAACAUUUUAGACAAAACGUGUCGGUUAUGAGUUAAUGAGUCAACAUAUACAUGCGCCCGGUUGAGUUAACGUAUGUUUUGAUUAAAAGCACCACUUGAAUUAUUAUAUAAAAUAAUCAAGUGCAAUAUGAGAAAAGAAGAGAAAGAGGAAAGAAGAGAGAAGAUUAUUGAGUAUCAAUUGGAUUUAAUAUUUUUCUUUCCCAUAACAAGUUUCUGAAGGAAAACUCAAAAUAAAGUUUGUUAUGGUCUUGGUACGGAUGUGUCGUACGGAGAUUGGUAGUUGUAUCCUCAAGAUAGAUACCUACGAAACUACACACUAGGGCAAAAUUAUGUCUUAAGAAAUUGCUUAGACAAACCUCUAUCAAACCACAAUCAGUUAUGUUGUGAGAAGAAGAAACAUAAUUAUCUUAUAACAGUUUAUAAGAAUUUAUAAAUCAAGUAAGAUUUAUAAAAGUUUAUAAACUCAAACUUAUUGAGUACGUGUGAUUGAUUUGCAUCUGUACUUUGGAUUAACAAGACGCUCCAGAGGCUUGUGUACAGACGCGAUGAUGAUGCUUCUGGUUCGAAGCCUUGUGUUAUGUUUGAUACUCCGGGUCUUGUUUACUUGGAGUACUCUAAUGUAGUUGCUGAUAAGUAUGAGAAUCUGCGUUUGGACAGCUUGGUUGACGUUAGGCUUGAUCUUCAGUUGACCGGUGAUCAAAUUUUGCGCAAGAAUGCUACAGACGGUGUUGGUUUUGUUCCUGGUGAUUUUAGGGUAAACCACGAUUGUAUCAUAUUAGUUUUUUCCCAAAGAUUUACCCAAAUGCAAGGUCCCAAGUCAUGAAAGAAAGUGCUUGACCUUCCCAAGUUUACUGUUUUAAAGUUCAAUUUUUUUUUUUUAUUGUUUUAGUUCUCUACAUGUAUUUAAUCUGAAUUUGGCACAUACCCGAGCUAGGCACAAAUUUGAUGGGGAAUAAUAUAGAACUAGGUGACUGGCCCGCACCCUGUGCCGGCAUAAAAAUAUUCAAAAUGUGGAAUAAAUAGUAUACAGUUGUUGAAGUUACAGAUUUUAUAUUAUCACUAAGUAGAAUUGUAUUGUAUAUACGUUGUAAGUGUGUAUUUUAGGUGACGAAUAUAUUUAUGUUUAUAUUUUUCGUUUUAAAAUAGUGACAUAUUUAAAGAAAAUAUAAUAUAAGUCGAAAUAUAAUCUAUAAGUAAUAUAAAUUAAGAAGUACAAUUCUCAAUAAAGAAAACAAACCUGCAAAAAAUUAUUAAAUUUUGUAAGCAGUUGUACGAAAUAAAAUAAUUUCAUAGAUAUAUAAUUUUAUAAAUUUUAGCUAGCAUAUAUUUUCAAGAUGCUAUAUAUUAUUUCUCAUGGAUCUAUGUUAUUAUAAAUAGAGCUUCAUAUGCAUACAUAUUCUGUAUAUUAAGUUUUGCCAAAAAGAUUGGAUUGCCAACUCUAUAUAUCUUCCAUUGUAUUUAAAAAUAAUGACAUAUUUAAAGAAAAUAUAAUAAAAGUCAGAAUAUAAUCCAUAAGUAAUAUAAAUUAAGAAGUACCAUUUUCGAUAAAGAAAUCAAAAUCCAUUAGAAACCUGCAAACAAUUAUUAAAUUUUGUAAGCAGUUGUACGAAAUAAAAUAAUUUCAUAGAUAUAUAAUUUUAUAAAUUUUAGCUAGCAUAUAUUUUCAAGAUGCUAUAUAUUAUUUCUCAUGGAUCUAUGUUAUUAUAAAUAGAGCUUCAUAUGCAUACAUAUUCUGUAUAUUAAGUUUUGCCAAAAAGAUUGGAUUGCCAACUCUAUAUAUCUUCCAUUGUAUUUAAAAAUAAUGACAUAUUUAAAGAAAAUAUAAUAAAAGUCAGAAUAUAAUCCAUAAGUAAUAUAAAUUAAGAAGUACCAUUUUCGAUAAAGAAAUCAAAAUCCAUUAGAAACCUGCAAACAAUUAUUAAAUUUUGUAAGCAGUUGUACGAAAUAAAAUAAUUUCAUAGAUAUAUAAUUUUAUAAAUUUUAGCUAGCAUAUAUUUUCAAGAUGCUAUAUAUUAUUUCUCAUGGAUCUAUGUUAUUAUAAAUAGAGCUUCAUAUGCAUACAUAUUCUGUAUAUUAAGUUUUGCCAAAAAGAUUGGAUUGCCAACUCUAUAUAUCUUCCAUUGUAUUUAAAAAUAAUGACAUAUUUAAAGAAAAUAUAAUAAAAGUCAGAAUAUAAUCCAUAAGUAAUAUAAAUUAAGAAGUACCAUUUUCGAUAAAGAAAUCAAAAUCCAUUAGAAACCUGCAAACAAUUAUUAAAUUUUGUAAGCAGUUGUACGAAAUAAAAUAAUUUCAUAGAUAUAUAAUUUUAUAAAUUUUAGCUAGCAUAUAUUUUCAAGAUGCUAUAUAUUAUUUCUCAUGGAUCUAUGUUAUUAUAAAUAGAGCUUCAUAUGCAUACAUAUUCUGUAUAUUAAGUUUUGCCAAAAAGAUUGGAUUGCCAACUCUAUAUAUCUUCCAUUGUAUUUAAAAAUAAUGACAUAUUUAAAGAAAAUAUAAUAAAAGUCAGAAUAUAAUCCAUAAGUAAUAUAAAUUAAGAAGUACCAUUUUCGAUAAAGAAAUCAAAAUCCAUUAGAAACCUGCAAACAAUUAUUAAAUUUUGUAAGCAGUUGUACGAAAUAAAAUAAUUUCAUAGAUAUAUAAUUUUAUAAAUUUUAGCUAGCAUAUAUUUUCAAGAUGCUAUAUAUUAUUUCUCAUGGAUCUAUGUUAUUAUAAAUAGAGCUUCAUAUGCAUACAUAUUCUGUAUAUUAAGUUUUGCCAAAAAGAUUGGAUUGCCAACUCUAUAUAUCUUCCAUUGUAUUUAAAAAUAAUGACAUAUUUAAAGAAAAUAUAAUAAAAGUCAGAAUAUAAUCCAUAAGUAAUAUAAAUUAAGAAGUACCAUUUUCGAUAAAGAAAUCAAAAUCCAUUAGAAACCUGCAAACAAUUAUUAAAUUUUGUAAGCAGUUGUACGAAAUAAAAUAAUUUCAUAGAUAUAUAAUUUUAUAAAUUUUAGCUAGCAUAUAUUUUCAAGAUGCUAUAUAUUAUUUCUCAUGGAUCUAUGUUAUUAUAAAUAGAGCUUCAUAUGCAUACAUAUUCUGUAUAUUAAGUUUUGCCAAAAAGAUUGGAUUGCCAACUCUAUAUAUCUUCCAUUGUAUUUAAAAAUAAUGACAUAUUUAAAGAAAAUAUAAUAAAAGUCAGAAUAUAAUCCAUAAGUAAUAUAAAUUAAGAAGUACCAUUUUCGAUAAAGAAAUCAAAAUCCAUUAGAAACCUGCAAACAAUUAUUAAAUUUUGUAAGCAGUUGUACGAAAUAAAAUAAUUUCAUAGAUAUAUAAUUUUAUAAAUUUUAGCUAGCAUAUAUUUUCAAGAUGCUAUAUAUUAUUUCUCAUGGAUCUAUGUUAUUAUAAAUAGAGCUUCAUAUGCAUACAUAUUCUGUAUAUUAAGUUUUGCCAAAAAGAUUGGAUUGCCAACUCUAUAUAUCUUCCAUUGUAUUUAAAAAUAAUGACAUAUUUAAAGAAAAUAUAAUAAAAGUCAGAAUAUAAUCCAUAAGUAAUAUAAAUUAAGAAGUACCAUUUUCGAUAAAGAAAUCAAAAUCCAUUAGAAACCUGCAAACAAUUAUUAAAUUUUGUAAGCAGUUGUACGAAAUAAAAUAAUUUCAUAGAUAUAUAAUUUUAUAAAUUUUAGCUAGCAUAUAUUUUCAAGAUGCUAUAUAUUAUUUCUCAUGGAUCUAUGUUAUUAUAAAUAGAGCUUCAUAUGCAUACAUAUUCUGUAUAUUAAGUUUUGCCAAAAAGAUUGGAUUGCCAACUCUAUAUAUCUUCCAUUGUAUUUAAAAAUAAUGACAUAUUUAAAGAAAAUAUAAUAAAAGUCAGAAUAUAAUCCAUAAGUAAUAUAAAUUAAGAAGUACCAUUUUCGAUAAAGAAAUCAAAAUCCAUUAGAAACCUGCAAACAAUUAUUAAAUUUUGUAAGCAGUUGUACGAAAUAAAAUAAUUUCAUAGAUAUAUAAUUUUAUAAAUUUUAGCUAGCAUAUAUUUUCAAGAUGCUAUAUAUUAUUUCUCAUGGAUCUAUGUUAUUAUAAAUAGAGCUUCAUAUGCAUACAUAUUCUGUAUAUUAAGUUUUGCCAAAAAGAUUGGAUUGCCAACUCUAUAUAUCUUCCAUUGUAUUUAAAAAUAAUGACAUAUUUAAAGAAAAUAUAAUAAAAGUCAGAAUAUAAUCCAUAAGUAAUAUAAAUUAAGAAGUACCAUUUUCGAUAAAGAAAUCAAAAUCCAUUAGAAACCUGCAAACAAUUAUUAAAUUUUGUAAGCAGUUGUACGAAAUAAAAUAAUUUCAUAGAUAUAUAAUUUUAUAAAUUUUAGCUAGCAUAUAUUUUCAAGAUGCUAUAUAUUAUUUAAUUUUAUUCGUUUUAUGAUAUUUCAUAAAUGCAACUGAAAAAGACAAGCAAAAAAAAGGAGUUUAAUUAAUGAAGUAAGAACAUUUUCAAAUGGGUACUUCUCUUUUAAUAAUAUAGAUUUUUUUAAAAUACAUUUACAAAAAUAUUGUUUGAAAGAAAAUUCAUUUAUCUUUCAAAGAGGCGUGCAUUGAACUAGGUGUUUUAGGAGAUUAUGAGAUUUGGUUAAAAUCCUCUGUUAUUCAACUAAUGAUUUAAAAAAAAAAAUUCAAAUCAGCUGUUAUUAGAUAUGAAAUUUCUGCAGAGUUAUUAAAUGUCACUUAAAAUCUCCUGUUAUUCAACUAAUCAUUUGUAAAAAUUAUAUCAAAUCCACUGUUAUUCAAUGUUAAACAACAAUUUGAAAAGAAAAUUUGUAAAAGGGAUUUGAGGAGAGUUUACACCAGUUUUUAGUUGAAAACAAUUUCUAUAGAAUAACAUCUCUAGAGGUGUUAUUUGAAGAUAGUUGAGAAAAAAAUAACAUUCGUGGAAAAUAAUAUUCUUUUGCUCCUCUGCUUGAGAGCUCUUGUAAGCGGCAGAAGCCUGAGACACCCUUUCUGGUUUUGACUUCGUCACCUUCAUAAGUAUACAUGGCGGACGAAUCUCAGUACUCUCCCGGCUCUUGCUGAUACAUGCUUCUCUAGCCCCCAAGCCUCUAUGAAAUUUGAAUCAGUGAUUUCGUCCCUUGCAUCCCGAACUUCAAUUCGAUCAAGUAAGCCACCGUCGCGAACGGGACCGGAGAAAGUGAGGGUGGGUUCUUGGCUCUAGUGAGGGUGAGAAAUUUUCACCACUGUCUUGCAGUAGAAAUGUUGAUUGAUCCGAGCUGCCACGCCUUGGUCGCUGUUUGAAAAUUGGCUGUCUUGAUGAGUUGAAUUAGUGAUAAAGUGAUGAACUUUAUGAUUGUCAGAUUUCAUUUACAUUUGAAGGUUCAUUAAGCGUGGGGACUACUGUCUUGCUAAAGGGACAAGUUCUGGAUUUCAUACACACAUCAUUGUAUGAUGCACAAGAUGGCUACUUCUCACAACAUUCAAGAUUUGUUGGGGUUUUGGAGAGAAGCAUUGGGUUCAACCAGCAUGAAGGUAAACUGGUUGCCUAGUUUCUCUUUUCAUCAAGGGAGGAAGGUUUACAUGAAGCUUUGUUUACUAGUUGUCUCUUUGUAUCCAGGGAGGAAGGCUUACAUGUAGUUGACUACUUUUCUUUUUAUCGGAGCUUUGUUGACUAAUUUUCUCUUUGUAUGGAAGGAUGGCUUACAUGAAGUUGCUGGAUAAAGUUUAUAAGCAGAAUGACAUUUUUUGGUUUUUCUCCAGUGGAACUCUUCAAAGUCAAAUUCGUGGAUAGAUUCUUUGGUCAUAUAUUCUAAUAUACAUUAAUGGUCCAUCUGUUGGUAUACAUUAGUGGUCACAAGUUUAUGCAUAUAGCUUAUAAGUGAUUAGGUAAGUAUAGAAACUCCUAAGCAAUGUAUGUAAGCAGAGAUAACUAUUAUCUUCAAAUCACCUAAAUAACUUAAAUUUAGAAAAGAUAUUUUAUCAAACCACCUGGCGAUUGUUAUUUGUAUUUUUUAAAUUCUAACUAAAAUCACCCAAACAACCUCAAAACUCAUUAAAUCCCACCAAAAUUAAAAUACUCUAAAAUCUCCUAAAACCUUUAAUUCAAUACACCCCCUUACUGUUGGUAGUAUAAUAAGCUACUUUAGUGGUUAAUAAGAAGUAUUGCGAUGACUGAUGUGUAAUCACGUGUUGCUAAAUUAUAGUCAGUUAGUUGUAAUUAUUAAAUGAUAUGUGUGAGGAAAAAUAUGUUAUUGUUGGUAGUAUAAUAAGCUACUCCAGUGGUUAAUAUCAGAAGAAUUGCAAUGACUGAUGUGAAAUCAUGUGUGUUGGACCAUGAUUUUGUACCAAAUCACUUCUACUAUAGUUAUAUGUUAUUAUAUAAAUUAUUGUGGGACAAUAAUUCAUCACCAAAUCUCGUGUUGAUAUUAAACGUCAAAGACGAAGUCAAAAGUUAGUUACCGAUCUCUCGGACUCACAUGGACGUAAGAAGAGGUCAAAGACUGAAUUUUAGGAAGCACGUGCAACAACUUGAAACCCUUAUAAAAAGACAAAGCAAUUGAUUUAUACGGCCAUCUUCCAAAAGAGCUUCAGGGGGCUCACAACGACAAAUAAAACACCAUCCAUUACCAUUAUUAUUAAGGAGGAGACGUGUGCACUUAGUGAAUCCAGGCUCCAUGCGUUAACAUAGAUCAAUAAGACGAAGGGUUUACUAUACAUCAUCAUACACGUUUCUCUAUCACUCCAAUACGUCUCCACGUUUGUUGAAGAACAAGACUUAUCCUUCGUACGAUAAACGAUCUAACGAGAUCGUAAUCGACCGUCUCGAGUUCAACUUGUUCCCCAUUCGUGAAUGGGGUCUCGUUCUAAAGGAGGUAAACGACAUCUCGCCCGAGAUGGUAAGAGAUAAAACCGACGUCUUCUGAGAACUGACGAACUCGAUGUCUCUCCUGAGAACCGACGAACUCGAUGUAUCGAUCGGGACCGACAAACCCGACGUCUUGCUCAAGACCGAUGACACCAACAUCCCUUUCGAGAUGAUGAUAAUCGAACUACGUUUAGACUUGAUCCCACGACGGGUACGUAGGCAGCUCGUUCUCGAGUUCAGUCACGAUCUUCUCUUUCCCGAUAUCUUUAUGAUAUUCGACCUACGAAUAUAGUCCAUUUUCGCCGACUCAUACCUGAUUAUAUCGUUGUGUUCUAAGGAUAUCGUUGCCCACAUCAUUUUUCUUCUCCAGAUUGAACUCCCGAUCACUAUUAAAUACUUAGUGUAGAUUUUAGGUUCUACAAUGUUUUUCUAAGUCAUCGUCAGC
rnacentral:lncRNA from 1 species